UACGAAGGGGGCUAGCGUUGUUCGGAAUUACUGGGCGUAAAGCGCACGUAGGCGGACAUUUAAGUCAGGGGUGAAAUCCCGAGGCUCAACCUCGGAACUGCCUUUGAUACUGGGUGUCUUGAGUAUGGAAGAGGUAAGUGGAAUUGCGAGUGUAGAGGUGAAAUUCGUAGAUAUUCGCAGGAACACCAGUGGCGAAGGCGGCUUACUGGUCCAUUACUGACGCUGAGGUGCGAAAGCGUGGGGAGCAAACAGGG
rnacentral:rRNA from 1 species